CGGUCCCACAGUCACUUCCUCUUCCGUGGGGGACACCAGGCUUCCCCUCGCAUUGGAGAGUGGAGUCCCCGAGAGCUCUCCGGGGCAACAUUCAGACAGAGCAGGCUCCAGGCCACCACGAUGCCCGCACCUGCCUCCCCACCCCGCCUGCCUCGGCCAUCCCUGCUGCUGCCUCUGCUGCUGGGCCUCACAGGUGUGGCAGGUGAGCCGGAGCUGCAGGUGAUCCAGCCUGAGAAGUCAAUGGCUGUCGCAGCAGGACAGACAGCCACUCUGCGCUGCACCCUGACCUCCCUGCUCCCCAGUGGGCCGGUUGAGUGGUUCAGGGGAACAGGGCCAGCCCGGCAGUUAAUCUUCAGUUUCAGAGGAGGCUCCUACCCCCGAGUGACAAAUGUUGCAGACACCACAAAGAGAAACAGCACGGACUUUUCCAUCCGCAUCAGUAACAUCACCCCAGCAGAUGCUGGUACCUACUACUGUGUGAAGUUCCAGAAAGGGACCCCUGACGUGGAGUUUAAGUCUGGACCAGGCACCAGGAUGUUUGUACAUGAAGCUAAGCCCUCUCUUCCAGAGGUUUCUGGCCCCUCCAACAGGAUCAGCCCAGGCCAGACAGUGAAUCUCACCUGCACAUCAACUGGCUUCUUUCCCAAAAGCAUACACCUGAAAUGGCUUGAAAAUGAUGUGGAGCUUCCGGCAUUUCAGACCCUGGUCUUCCUGCCUAGAGAUGCUGGAUCCUACACCAUCGUCAGCACGGUGCUGGUGACCCUUGACUUAUCCUCACUCCACUCCCAGCUCACCUGCCAAGUGGCUCACAAUACAUUGCAGAGCCCCCUCAGUAGGCACGUGAACAUCUCCAAAUUCCUCCAAGUUAUACCCACAGUGACUGUUUCAUCCCACCGAGUCCCAAGCCUCCAGUUGGCCAUCCUCACCUGCUACGUGCAAAGGUUCUACCCUGAAGUCAUACAAAUCACCUGGCUGGAGGUGAACAGACGCUUUAAGGCCUGUGAGCCUCCCACCCCCACCAAGAACCCAGAUGGCACAUUCAGCCAAGACAAUCAUAUCCUGGUUCACACCUCAGAGGACAAAGCGCUGUUCACCUGCGAAGUGUGGCAAGAGGCCCAGCCACUGAUCCAGGCCCACGUGCGGCUGAGUGAGUCCAGAGGCCAGCCAGCGUGUUUGGGUGAGUAGGGGUGGAAUAACCCAGCAGCUCAAGGUUCAGACCUGGACACAGACAGGCCAGGUUCACACGCUGGCUCUGCCAUGUUUGUCAUGUGUGAACUUGAGGAAGUCACUUCACCUUUUGGUACCUCAAUUCCUUCAUCUAUAAAAUGGGACAGCAGUUAGAGCAACCUCUGCAGAGUGUGCUGCCUUAGGGACCAAAGAGCUGUAAGCACCACUUUCAUCACACAGCGGGAUCCUGACCAUGCAGCCACGGCACCGGCUCGUCCAGUGAAUAAGUUCAUACGAAUUAUCGUCCCCCUUUUCCACCCACCCUCUCAAAAGCCAUUCAGAUUCAACAAUUACUGAGUGCCUAUUAGGUAUUCUGUUUGGUGUUCUCCUUUGAUACAGGAACGUUCUAAGGUAUACGUUAUCAUCCCCAUUUUAAAGACUAGGAAACAGCUUAGAGAGGUGAGGGGAUUCCCUCUUAGUCCAAGGGUGUAGUCUUGGUACCUGAGUCAGGGGUGAGGCUGGGCCUGCCUAGGGGUUGAGUGGUGGGCACCAGAAGCCGCGUUCAUCCUAGUAUCUUUCCAGAUGCCAGGGCAUCCAGCUCCCUCUCUGGGACCCUCAUCCUGCUUGGCUGGAAGUUGUUUCCCUUGACUGCACUUUGCAUCAUCUAUGUCCUCAAGAGGAGAUUCCCUUCCAAAUUAGGAAACUGAGGCACAAAGUGCUCAAAUGAUAGUCAUGAUUGGAUAAAGCCAAGAUUUGAGCCCAGAUGGUGCCGCUAAACACACUGACAGAACCUGGAAGAGUCUGGGAUUGCUUUAAUUGGCAAACGAGCCUCUGAGCUGAGCAAUGGGACUGAGCGGCAGGUGCUGCAGCCCGAGGGCCCCAUGCUGGUGGCAGAAGGUAACACACUCCCAUUGUGGUGUUCAGUGGACAGCUCCUGCACUGGUGACAUGAUUAAAUGGGUCAAGGGCUGGUCUGAGCCGGGAGGCCAUUCACAACUUUGAAGGCAUCUCCCACCCCAACGUGACAGCAGUCCGGGCCUCCAGCAGGGAUUUUAGCAUUCUUCUGCAAGGUGCCUCUGGGGAGCGGGCAGGCACCUACUACUGUGUCAAGUUUCAGAGGAAACUCAACAGACAAUACCUGUCUGGACCGGGCACCAAGCUGAGAGUAAAAGAUUUUAUUUAUUUGACAAAGAGAGACACAGCAAGAGAGGGAACACAAGCAGGGGGAGUCCAAGAGGGAGAAGCAGUCUUCCCGCGGAGCAGAGAGCCUGAUGCGGGGCUCCAUCCCAGGACCCUGGGAUCAUGACCUGAGCCGAAGGCAGACGCUUAACGACUGAGCCACCCAGGCGCCCCUAACAAAACUCUUAAAUCACAGUGGCUUAAGCCAGAAGAAAAUCGAUUUCUCUAGUAAUAACAGAGCAUAAGCAGGCCAGGCAACAGGGGAUUCCUUCAUCUUGUUGCUACCGCGUCCACACCCCAGGCCGUUAAGACUAGGGAAGAAGGCAAAAGUGAAGGGGAGUAUAACCCGCCCCUUCAAGGGCACAGCUGGGAACUUGCCCACAUCACCUCUAAUUGGCUGGAAUAUGGUCACAUCGUCACACCCAGCUGUAAGGAAGGCUGGAAAAUGUAGUCUUUAUUCUGGCAGCAGUGUGCCCAGCUGCAAUGUUUCACUAAAAGAACCAGGAGGCGAAUGUCAGUAGAUAACCAGUAACAUCUACCUCGGUGGCAAGGGGAAGCUUCUUCCUUGCUCUGAGUUCAAUUCCCAGCUGAAACAGCACCUUUUUGUACCACCACCUCCACUAGGGAGUAUAAUAGAGAGCAGUAGUUCUCAAGAAGAGGAGGUUUUUUUUCCCCCAGUGUACAUUUGGCAAUGUCUAGAGACACUUUUGGUUGUCACAACUUGGGGGUUGUCACAACUGGCUAUCACCGUCUAGUGAGUAGAGGUCAGGGGGAUGUCACUAAACAUCCUAAAAUGCACAGGGACAGCCCCCACAACAAAGAGUUUUCUGGUCCAAAGCAUCAGUGGUGCUGGGGCUGAGAAGCCCAAUGUAGGGGAAAGUGUGACACGCCUGGCUUGCAAUCCCAAAGCCCCCACUCGCUCCCCGUAUGCCUUUAGUGACUAAUCAGUCGCUUCACCUCUUGGACCCUCAUGGAUAAUAAUGUGGAUGCAGAUCAUAACAUGGACUUCUCUGCGUUGUCUAAGAAUUAACUGGAUUCAUUUAUUGAGGGCUUCCUAUAUGCUGUGUGCUCCAGGUACACUCAGUGCCUGUGAGCUCCCUUUUUGCUUUCCACGUGAACACUUACUAGCACCCAUUCUGUGGGGAAGUGUAUUAGCCUGGCUGUUUUUCAUUAUGACAACAGAAAAACAGCUUGCAAAACCUAAGCCAAAGGGGAUGCUAGUGUAGCCUGAGAAUUGCAUAAAUCAUUGAGUGACCAGACAUCAGAAUAAUAGCCGCCUGCCAGAUGAUCCACGUCUUAAUCUCUGGAACCUGUGACUACGACCUCACAUGGCCAAAAAGGGAAUUUGCAGCUGGAGUUAAAGAUCUUGAGACAGGAGUUUAUCCCAGAUUAUCCAGGUGGGCCCUAAAUGCUUUCAUGAGUGUCCUGAUGAGGGAGAGACGGAGGGAGAUUUGACACGGAGGAGAAGACAGCAAUGUGACCACAGAGGCGGAGAUUGGAGUGAUGUGGUCACAAGUUAAAGGAUGCCGGGAGCACCCAGAAGCUAAAAGAAGCCAGAACAGCUUCUCUCCCAGAGCCUCCAGAGGGAGCAGGGCCCACUGAACACCUUGACUCCUGCCCGGUGAUGCUGCUUUCAGACUUCUGGCCUUCAGAACGAUGAGACAAUAAAUUUCUUUGUUCUGAAGCA